GGUUAAGCGACUAAGCGUACACGGUGGAUGCCCUGGCAGUCAGAGGCGAUGAAGGACGUGCUAAUCUGCGAUAAGCGUCGGUAAGGUGAUAUGAACCGUUAUAACCGGCGAUUUCCGAAUGGGGAAACCCAGUGUGUUUCGACACACUAUCAUUAACUGAAUCCAUAGGUUAAUGAGGCGAACCGGGGGAACUGAAACAUCUAAGUACCCCGAGGAAAAGAAAUCAACCGAGAUUCCCCCAGUAGCGGCGAGCGAACGGGGAGCAGCCCAGAGCCUGAAUCAGUGUGUGUGUUAGUGGAAGCGUCUGGAAAGGCGCGCGAUACAGGGUGACAGCCCCGUACACAAAAAUGCACAUGCUGUGAGCUCGAUGAGUAGGGCGGGACACGUGGUAUCCUGUCUGAAUAUGGGGGGACCAUCCUCCAAGGCUAAAUACUCCUGACUGACCGAUAGUGAACCAGUACCGUGAGGGAAAGGCGAAAAGAACCCCGGCGAGGGGAGUGAAAAAGAACCUGAAACCGUGUACGUACAAGCAGUGGGAGCACGCUUCGGCGUGUGACUGCGUACCUUUUGUAUAAUGGGUCAGCGACUUAUAUUCUGUAGCAAGGUUAACCGAAUAGGGGAGCCGAAGGGAAACCGAGUCUUAACUGGGCGUUAAGUUGCAGGGUAUAGACCCGAAACCCGGUGAUCUAGCCAUGGGCAGGUUGAAGGUUGGGUAACACUAACUGGAGGACCGAACCGACUAAUGUUGAAAAAUUAGCGGAUGACUUGUGGCUGGGGGUGAAAGGCCAAUCAAACCGGGAGAUAGCUGGUUCUCCCCGAAAGCUAUUUAGGUAGCGCCUCGUGAAUUCAUCUCCGGGGGUAGAGCACUGUUUCGGCAAGGGGGUCAUCCCGACUUACCAACCCGAUGCAAACUGCGAAUACCGGAGAAUGUUAUCACGGGAGACACACGGCGGGUGCUAACGUCCGUCGUGAAGAGGGAAACAACCCAGACCGCCAGCUAAGGUCCCAAAGUCAUGGUUAAGUGGGAAACGAUGUGGGAAGGCCCAGACAGCCAGGAUGUUGGCUUAGAAGCAGCCAUCAUUUAAAGAAAGCGUAAUAGCUCACUGGUCGAGUCGGCCUGCGCGGAAGAUGUAACGGGGCUAAACCAUGCACCGAAGCUGCGGCAGCGACACUGUGUGUUGUUGGGUAGGGGAGCGUUCUGUAAGCCUGUGAAGGUGUACUGUGAGGUAUGCUGGAGGUAUCAGAAGUGCGAAUGCUGACAUAAGUAACGAUAAAGCGGGUGAAAAGCCCGCUCGCCGGAAGACCAAGGGUUCCUGUCCAACGUUAAUCGGGGCAGGGUGAGUCGACCCCUAAGGCGAGGCCGAAAGGCGUAGUCGAUGGGAAACAGGUUAAUAUUCCUGUACUUGGUGUUACUGCGAAGGGGGGACGGAGAAGGCUAUGUUGGCCGGGCGACGGUUGUCCCGGUUUAAGCGUGUAGGCUGGUUUUCCAGGCAAAUCCGGAAAAUCAAGGCUGAGGCGUGAUGACGAGGCACUACGGUGCUGAAGCAACAAAUGCCCUGCUUCCAGGAAAAGCCUCUAAGCAUCAGGUAACAUCAAAUCGUACCCCAAACCGACACAGGUGGUCAGGUAGAGAAUACCAAGGCGCUUGAGAGAACUCGGGUGAAGGAACUAGGCAAAAUGGUGCCGUAACUUCGGGAGAAGGCACGCUGAUAUGUAGGUGAAGCGACUUGCUCGUGGAGCUGAAAUCAGUCGAAGAUACCAGCUGGCUGCAACUGUUUAUUAAAAACACAGCACUGUGCAAACACGAAAGUGGACGUAUACGGUGUGACGCCUGCCCGGUGCCGGAAGGUUAAUUGAUGGGGUCAGCGCAAGCGAAGCUCUUGAUCGAAGCCCCGGUAAACGGCGGCCGUAACUAUAACGGUCCUAAGGUAGCGAAAUUCCUUGUCGGGUAAGUUCCGACCUGCACGAAUGGCGUAAUGAUGGCCAGGCUGUCUCCACCCGAGACUCAGUGAAAUUGAACUCGCUGUGAAGAUGCAGUGUACCCGCGGCAAGACGGAAAGACCCCGUGAACCUUUACUAUAGCUUGACACUGAACAUUGAGCCUUGAUGUGUAGGAUAGGUGGGAGGCUUGGAAGUGUGGACGCCAGUCUGCAUGGAGCCGACCUUGAAAUACCACCCUUUAAUGUUUGAUGUUCUAACGUUGACCCGUAAUCCGGGUUGCGGACAGUGUCUGGUGGGUAGUUUGACUGGGGCGGUCUCCUCCUAAAGAGUAACGGAGGAGCACGAAGGUUGGCUAAUCCUGGUCGGACAUCAGGAGGUUAGUGCAAUGGCAUAAGCCAGCUUGACUGCGAGCGUGACGGCGCGAGCAGGUGCGAAAGCAGGUCAUAGUGAUCCGGUGGUUCUGAAUGGAAGGGCCAUCGCUCAACGGAUAAAAGGUACUCCGGGGAUAACAGGCUGAUACCGCCCAAGAGUUCAUAUCGACGGCGGUGUUUGGCACCUCGAUGUCGGCUCAUCACAUCCUGGGGCUGAAGUAGGUCCCAAGGGUAUGGCUGUUCGCCAUUUAAAGUGGUACGCGAGCUGGGUUUAGAACGUCGUGAGACAGUUCGGUCCCUAUCUGCCGUGGGCGCUGGAGAACUGAGGGGGGCUGCUCCUAGUACGAGAGGACCGGAGUGGACGCAUCACUGGUGUUCGGGUUGUCAUGCCAAUGGCACUGCCCGGUAGCUAAAUGCGGAAGAGAUAAGUGCUGAAAGCAUCUAAGCACGAAACUUGCCCCGAGAUGAGUUCUCCCUGACUCCUUGAGAGUCCUGAAGGAACGUUGAAGACGACGACGUUGAUAGGCCGGGUGUGUAAGCGCAGCGAUGCGUUGAGCUAACCGGUACUAAUGAACCGUGAGGCUUAACCUU
rnacentral:rRNA from 1 species